GACGUAGGGCGCGAGCGUUGUCCGGAUUUAUUGGGCGUAAAGAGCUCGUAGGCGGCUUGUCGCGUCGACCGUGAAAACUUGGGGCUCAACCCCAAGCCUGCGGUCGAUACGGGCAGGCUAGAGUUCGGUAGGGGAGACUGGAAUUCCUGGUGUAGCGGUGAAAUGCGCAGAUAUCAGGAGGAACACCGGUGGCGAAGGCGGGACUCUGGGCCGAUACUGACGCUGAGGAGCGAAAGCGUGGGGAGCGAACAGG
rnacentral:rRNA from 1 species